rnacentral:rRNA from 1 species
GACGAACGCUGGCGGCGUGCUUAACACAUGCAAGUCGAACGGGUCUGCCCUGUUUUUUGCGGGGUGGGUCAGUGGCGAACGGGUGAGUAACACGUGAGUAACCUGCCCCUCACUUCUGGAUAACCGCUUGAAAGGGUGGCUAAUACGGGGUGUUCUGGCUGUGCCGCAUGGUGUGGCUGGGAAAGAUUCACUUUUGUGGUGUUUUGGUGGGGGAUGGGCUCGCGGCCUAUCAGCUUGUCGGUGGGGUGAUGGCCUGCCAAGGCUUUGACGGGUAGCCGGCAUGAGAGGGUGGGCGGUCACACGGGGACUGAGAUACGGCCCAGACUCCUGCGGGAGGCAGCAGUGGGGGGUAGUGCACAAUGGGCGGAAGCCUGAUGCAGCGACGUCGCGUGAGGGAUGGAGGCCUUCGGGUUGUGAACCUCUUUCGCCGGUGAAGAAGGUCCUGCUCUUUGUGGUGGGGUUGACGGUAGCCGGGUUAUGAAGCGCCGGCUAACUACGUG